rnacentral:pre_miRNA from 1 species
UAUCUACUCCGUCCGAUCCAUAUUAGUUGUCAAAAUAUUACAUGUAUCUAGACGCUUUUUAGGCAUGAAUACAUCCAUAUUUUGACAAAUUUGAGACAAUUAAUAUGGAUCGGAGGGAGUAUUCA